rnacentral:rRNA from 1 species
CACGAACCGUACGAACGUUAUUCGGUAUCACUGGGCUUAAAGCGUGCGUAGGCGGCCUUGUAGGUCGGGUGUGAAAUCCCACGGCUCAACCGUGGAACUGCGCCCGAAACCACAAGGCUUGAGGGAAGCAGGGGUGUGCGGAACUGAUGGUGGAGCGGUGAAAUGCGUUGAUAUUAUCAGGAACACCGGUGGCGAAAGCGGCACACUGGGCUUCUUCUGACGCUCAGGCACGAAAGCUAGGGGAGCGAACGGG